rnacentral:rRNA from 1 species
AACGUAGGAGGCGAGCGUUAUCCGGAUUUACUGGGCGUAAAGCGCGUGCAGGUGGUAUUCUAAGUCGGACGUGAAAGCUCCUGGCUCAACUAGGAGAGGUCGUUCGAAACUAGGAAACUUGAGGGUGGUAGAGGAGAGUGGAAUUCCCGGUGUAGUGGUGAAAUGCGUAGAUAUCGGGAGGAACACCAGUGGCGAAGGCGGCUCUCUGGGCCAUUCCUGACACUAAGACGCGAAAGCUAGGGGAGAGAACGGGAUUAGAUACCCGCGUA